UACGAGUUGUGCAAACGUUAUUCGGAAUCACUGGGCUUAAAGGGUGCGUAGGCGGACAUGUAGGUCAGGUGUGAAAUCCCACGGCUCAACCGUGGAAUUGCGCUUGAAACCACUCGUCUUGAGGGGAUCAGAGGAGAGCGGAACUGAUGGUGGAGCGGUGAAAUGCGUUGAUAUCAUCAGGAACACCGGUGGCGAAAGCGGCUCUCUGGGAUCUUUCUGACGCUGAGGCACGAAAGCUAGGGGAGCGAACGGG
rnacentral:rRNA from 1 species